rnacentral:rRNA from 1 species
UACGGAGGGCGCAAGCGUUGUUCGGAAUCACUGGGCGUAAAGCGCGUGUAGGCGGCCGGGCAAGUCGGAUGUGAAAUCCCGAGGCUCAACCUCGGAACUGCAUUCGAAACUGUUCGGCUCGAGUCCCGGAGAGGAUGGCGGAAUUCCCGGUGUAGGGGUGAAAUCCGUAGAUAUCGGGAGGAACACCAGUGGCGAAGGCGGCCAUCUGGACGGUGACUGACGCUGAGACGCGAAAGCGUAGGGAGCAAACAGG